UAUGGUGUAGGCCAGAGGCUACAGCUCUCAUUCGACCCCUAGCCUGGGAACUUCCAUAUGCCGUGGGUGCAGUCCUAAAAAGACCAAAAAUAUAUAUAUAUAUUAAAUGUCAGAAACCAGCCUUAGUGUGUGUGUCAUCCCCCAAACCCCCCAAAACACAGGUCCGCACGUGCACGUGCACAUACACACACAUACAUGCACACAUCCAGUCAGGCCUCGGAGCACCUCAUAUUUUCUCAGGGUGCAGGUCAUGUUUGUGAUUAUCGUUCACCUUCCCCACCAGGUUCCGAGACCCUUUGGGACAAGGUGCCUGUGGCCACUGCUGUGCCCAGCUCAGAAUUGUCACAUGGCAGGUGCCCCUGGGAACCUGUUCUGUGCGCCCUUGGCCCUGUGCCUGCCGCCCUUCCCCAUCUCCGAGUCAGACAGGCGCAGGGUGUGGGGAGCCUGACCAGAUAGGACAGGAGGAGAGAGGAGGGGGCAACUAUUGGAUGCAGACGUCAAACUCAGAACAUUGCCAGCAUACACAGAAGCAGAGAGAAGAGUAUAAUGAAACCUCACGUGCCCGACCUCCACUUGAACAAUCACCAACUCAGGGCCAAUUUUGUUUGAUACAUACCUCACCUCACUCCCGUUAUUUAGAAGCAAAGCCCAGAUGCCUUAGGUAUUUAAUUAGUUAAUAGCAAAUGUGCUUUUGAGUUUCAUUUCCAGAAUUGCAUCCAUGCCUGCAGUGUGGGUCGUUUGAAGGCUCAGGAAGGCUCUGCGAAAACUACCGAGUCAUAGUUAAUGAGAAACCUGGGGAAUGAGGAGUUCUGAUUGAUCAGAUUUUCUGUUUCAAUAAAUCAUGAGCUAGAAAACCCUUAUUGUUUAGAGAGGGGAAGCACCUUCUAAGAUAAAAGUCUACUUGCCUGCCUUAAUAGGUAUGUACAGCAAACAGUCUAAUCUCUUGAUCUAGUCUGACUGAUUUUGGCUCCUGGGGGAUGUGACAGAAUAGAGCCGGGCAGUACCGUGACAGGUCUGGGGUGGGGGGGCUUCCCACCUGCCCCCCACCUGUCCAGAAUCCAACCUGUUGGUGUCUCCCCAACCCCCAGCCCGCUCCUCAGCGUACCUGAGCAACCUCCCCCAAAUACAAAGGAUCCUCUGGUUCUGUGCCUCCUCCCCCGGCACGUGCCACAAGUUCAUCCAGUUUUUCCCUCUUCCCACCAGUCUGCCAUCAAGAUGCGUGUGCUGAAGGCCGAAUUUGAACUCAGCUCAGGGGACAUAACGGUGACUUUAUUGACAAAGAGGACAAAACCGAUCUUGAUACUGAGUGAAGGGAGACAUACAGCAUGCCAUAGAAGAAGAGUGGCAGGGACCACUCCUGGGUGGGAGGAUCGCCCAGUAGGUGGCUCCCAGCCAGGACCCAGCGAGACACCAGCGUCUGCCAGGCAGAGGGCGAGACCCACGGGGGGAGCUCCCUUCACAGAAGACGUGUUGACCAACCACAACGCCUCCCUGUGCGUCCACCUUUGCUUUUGUCUAUUUACUUAUUUACUUAGUUUGCUUUUUAGGGCCACACCAGCAGUAUAUGGAGGUUCCCAGGCUAGAGGUCAGAUUGGAGCUGCAGCUGCUGGCCUACACCACAGCCACAGCAACACAGGAUCCUUAGCACACUGAGUGAGGCCUCAAAAGACUGCACAGUGGGGAUUAUUACCCUCAUUUUACACAGGAGGAAACUAAUGCUUACCUCCCAUGGUGGAGCAGUCAGCAAACUGGCCGAAGACGGGAAGUUCUUCAACUAAUAAAGGCGUCUAAGAACACCCCACAGUAAACAUAUUUUUAAUGAUGAAUGGCUGAAUACUUUCCAUGUGUAAUAGGGGCAAGGCAAGGAUGUCUGUUGUCACCAGGACCAUACAGCAUUUUUCUGGAAGGUUUAGUCGGAUCAGGUUAGGAAGACAUUCCCAUUAGAAAGGAGUGAAAAUGCUCUGUGCAAAUGACAUGAUGCUUUAUAUGGAAAACCCUAAAGAGUACACACACACAUACACAUGUAAGAGCCAGUAAGUGAGUUCAACAAGGUCCCAGGAAACAAGAUCAAUAUGCAAAAUUCAGCUGCAUUUCUGAACUCUAGCAAUGAACAACUCAAAAAUGAAACUAAGGAAACUCUUCCAUGUACAAUAACAUCAAAGAGAAUAAAAUGUUUUAGGAUAAAUUUAAUCAGGGAAGGGCAAGACUUCUACACUGACACCUGUAAAACGUUGUUGAUUAUUCAGCCAUAAAAAGGGAUUAAUUGAUACAACAACAUGGGUGAACUUCAAACACAUGAUGCUAUGUGGAAGGAACCAGACACAAAAGGCCACGUACUGUAUGAUCCCAUAUAUGUGAAAUGCCCAGCAUAGUAAAUCCAAAGGGAUAGAAAACAGAUUGGUAUUGGCAGCAAGGAGGCGGAGCAGAAGUGUACUUAAUGGAUAUGGGGUGUCCUUUUGGGGUGAUGCCAUUUUGGAACUUCAUAUACGUGCCAGUUACAUUGUGAAUGUCCUAAGUGCCACUGAAUUGUACAGUUUAAGAUGCUUCAUUUCACGUUACAUGAAUUUCACCUCAAUUUUUGUAAAUGUUGAAAGAAACUAAAGAAGGCCUAAAUAAAUGGAAAAACAUCUUGU